UCCCUCUCUGAAUUGCUCCUCCCAAGGUCUGGAGGGUCAUGCAGAGGCCUGUUCAACAGAGGAUGCUGAGUGUAACAGAGGAUGAUACCCCGCAGCCUUCACCCCUACUUGUUUGCCUACAGAGUGAACAGAUCCACAGGAGAUGCAGUGGCGACAGCACUCCAUGCCGCUCUGUCACAACUGGAGCGGCAGGGGAGCUAUGUGCGGAUGCUCUUUGUGGAUUACAGCUCUUUAUUCAAGGCAAUCCUCCCACAAAAGCUGGUGGUCAAGCAGCGGGACCUCGGGCUCCCUUUUACCACAUGCAGGUGGAUCAGCAGCUUCUUCUCUGGCCGCAGACAGAGAGUCAUAGUGGGCCAUCACACAUCCACGGCCUUUAGCCCCAGCACUAGCUUCCCCCAGGGCUGUGUGCUCAGUCCCCUGCUCUACUCCCUCUACACACACGACUGCACCCAUGUUCAUCACAGUACCACCAUUGUGAAGUUUGCCGAUGACACCACAGUGGCGCGGCUCAUCUCUGGGGGGGAGCAUGGCCAACAACCUUCUCCUUAACACUGCAAAGACAAAAUAACUCAUAAUAGACUACAGGAGAAAGAAGACUGAGAUCACACCAUUGACCAUCAGCCGGAUCAGUGUGGAGAGGGUGGCAGACUUUCGCUUCCUGGGGGUCCACAUACAGGACAGCCUAUUCUGGCGUGUGAACACCUCUGAGCUGUUGAAAAAGGCCCCGCAGAGACGGUACUUCCUGAAAACCCUCAGGAGGAGUAACAUCACACAAAGACUGCUGGGGGUCCUUCUACCGAGCCUCCAUUGAAAGUAUACUGACAUACUGCAUAAGCAUUUGGUAUACCAGCUGUACAGUGGCUUAGACAAAAAUGCUCCAGAGGGUCAUCAACACCGCUCAAAAGAUUGUUGGCUGCCCUCUCCCCGCACUGGGAGACCUACACAGAUCCCGUUGUCUCAAAAGAGCCCAGAACAUCAUAAGAUAUUUCACAUCCUGGGCACUCCCUGUUUGAAAUGUUGCCGUCAGGCAGACGGUACAGAUCAAUCAAGGCCAAUGAAUGUUGCACUGACUGGAAGCACUUAAAUUCCGUUGUACCUGUGACAAUGACAAAUAAAGAUAUAUCAGGAUGCAACACAGGAUGCUGUGAGCAACACAGACCCCUUGCUGGACUACCCCUCUCUAGCUGCCAGCCUUCCAGAGACAGACAGUACAAU